rnacentral:pre_miRNA from 1 species
CUUCAGUGAACAUUCAACGCUGUCGGUGAGUUUGGAAUUAAAGGGAAAACCAUCGACCGUUGAUUGUACCCUCCAG